rnacentral:pre_miRNA from 1 species
CCCACACCCAUAUGAGUAGGACUCCAAAGGAUCAGCAUUAAAUUUGGCACAGAUCUCUAGAAAAGUUAUCAUUUAGGGUGUGGGAUUUGACUUUUUUUUAGAUCUGUGUCAAAUUUGAUGGUGAUCAUUUGGGGUCCUACUCACAUGGGUGUGGG